CCUACGGGCGGCUGCAGCUAAGAAUAUUCCGCAAUGGACGGAAGUCUGACGGAGCGACGCCGCGUGGAUGAAGAAGGCUGAAAAGUUGUAAAAUCCUUUUGUUGAUGAAGAAUAAGGGUGAGAGGGAAUGCUUAUCUGAUGACGGUAAUCGACGAAUAAGCCCCGGCUAAUUACGUGCCAGCAGCCGCGGUAACACGUAAGGGGCGAGCGUUGUUCGGAAUUAUUGGGCGUAAAGGGCAUGUAGGCGGUUGUGUAAGCCUGGUGUGAAAUCCUGGGGCUUAACCCCAGAAUAGCAUUGGGUACGGCACAACUUGAAUUACGGAAGGGAAACUGGAAUUGCAAGUGUAGGGGUGGAAUCUGUAGAUAUUUGGAAGAACACCGGUGGCGAAGGCGGGUUUCUGGCCGAUAAUUGACGCUGAGAUGCGAAAGUGUGGGGAUCGAACAGGAUUAGAUACCCCUGUAGUC
rnacentral:rRNA from 1 species